AGGGCAGCCAACCAGCGAUGGUGAGCGAAUCCCAAAAAGUGCGUCGUAGUCCGGAUUGGAGUCUGCAACUCGACUCCAUGAAGUCGGAAUCGCUAGUAAUCGUGAAUCAGAAUGUCACGGUGAAUACGUUCCCGGGCCUUGUACACACCGCCCGUCACACCAUGGGAGUGGGCUGCAAAAGAAGUGGGUAGUUUAACCUUUCGRGGAGGACGCUCACCACUUUGUGGUUCAUGACUGGGGUGAAGUCGUAACAAGGUAGCCCUAGGGGAACCUGGGGCUGGAUCACCUCCUUAUACGAAGAU
rnacentral:rRNA from 1 species